rnacentral:rRNA from 1 species
UACGGAGGGUGCAAGCGUUAUCCGGAUUUACUGGGGUUAAAGGGUGCGUAGGUGGGCAGGUAAGUCAGUGGUGAAAUCUCCGGGCUUAACUCGGAAACUGCCAUUGAUACUAUCUGUCUUGAAUAUCCUGGAGGUAAGCGGAAUAUGUCAUGUAGCGGUGAAAUGCUUAGAUAUGACAUAGAACACCCAUUGCGAAGGCAGCUUACUACGGGAUUAUUGACACUGAGGCACGAAAGCGUGGGGAUCAAACAGG